UGAGAAAAGGCGAAUAAUUUAAAAACACAGAAAAAAAUGAAUUAGGAAAGUCAAGUCUGAACUCCAGAAGCUUCUUUUUCUUCUCUCUCUUUUCUCAAACGUUUUCUUUCUAUUUGGAAGAUGAACAAGUAGGAAGAGGAAGAGGAAGCAGCAGAUUCUUGGGCUACUACUUCAUUACUUCUAUGUCCCCCAGAUUCAAAGGUCACACUUACAUCGAAUUUACAGUGAACCCUUGGCAUAGAAUCAGACAACACAAUAGAGAGGUGAAGAUGGGUGCUUGGAGGACAGAAACGUUCCUGGGAGAUGAUCAUCAAGUUUCGCUUCGAGAUUGUUGAAUUUGAGGUAUGGGAUAGUAAUAGAAGCAAAAACUGGAUGUUCUUGCAACCAGGUUAUCUAAUGUUUCUCAGUGGCAGAAAAAGAUUAGGGGAUCUGUAGAUGGAAGGAGUUGUAGACUUUAAGACAGUGAUUAGCUGAUAAAUUGGAUAUAAAAGGACAAAAUAUAUUAUUUUGUUCAGAAAAGAAAUCUUCAUUCGUGUAGCUCAAAGAUCUUCAAAAGGAUCCUCCUACUUCUUGUAGCGCUGUUACGGCAGGUUUGAAGAGAGGAAGAGUAAACAGAAGAAUUCGGGAGAGGUGAUUGACCCUAGAUGAAAAGAUAUGGAGAUCAAGGAUUAGGAUAGAAGGUUAGUAAGUAGUUGAUCAUUGUUCAGUUCUCUUAAAAUUGAAGCCGUGCUUAGCGGUCAAGUAGGUUCUUCCGUGGAAAAUGUGUUUCGAGUCUUUAGGAAUCACAAUUUUUAGGUAUUUUACUUGUCGAUUAAAAAAAUUGGGAGCCACAACAAAUCAAUACCCAUGGAGAUGGAGACGGAUGCCAAUAGACAGGAAGAAUUUAAUAAUUGUGCAUUGGGUAUACAUUACGAAGUACUUAGAAAAAUAACUUCUGCAAUCAUGAUAUUUAGAACUAAAAUCGUUUUUCCUUUGCAUUAUUCUUUCUCAUCGUCGAUUCCUUUUCUUCCAUUUAAAUUUCUUUUUUAUUCUACUCCGCAAUUGUAUAGUGUACAUAUUUUGAAUGGUUUUAGAACUUGAGGGAUGAUUGUGGUUGAAGAGAUCAUCUUUGAGAUUUUAUUGUAGCACAUUUAGAUUUGGCGAUCACCAUAAUAUUAGGGAAUAUGUUUAAAAAUUCUACUAUCAUGUCUAAUGACCGUCCAAGUAUUUGGCAAAAGGUGUGGAGAAUUAAAUAUAUACUCAUGAUAGCUAACAUUUAACCUCUGUGCACUAUAUAAUUUUUUGGUGAAAGGUGUGCAUCAGACCACCCUUUGCCUAAGGUGGCUCCGGCCAUGGCCAUGUCAUGUGAUGCUAGUGUGAUCUAGCUGCCACAAAAUUCCUGUCUUUAUUUUUUCUUGCAUCAAUAUUUUGUUUAUGUCUUUAUGCUAGUUUAAUAGACACAUCAAUGGCUGCAUUUUCUGUCACUCGAAUGGAAGUUAUGAUGUAUGUUCUGUUUUUUAGAAGUGGCUUGGUAACAACAUAACUGAAUCGAAUUAGGAGGGGAUUGAAAAGUUUUACAAAAACAGCGAUACAGUGAAAGAAUGCAUAGCUCUCUGUUGGCAAAAAUUGAAAAUGGAAUCGCGUUACUUUUACUGAUGUCCAAUCUUGUGAAGUAGUUUAUUCAGCAUGUAUUUCUUCUUCUAUAUGCAUUGAUGCAUCAAUAGUAUGUGCUGCAUUAUGAACUGGAGUGUUUGUUUAGCAUUUAUUCGUGCAGGGACUUUUAUAUGUGAAUCUGGAACUCUGUUAUGCAGAUUGGCUGUUAUGUAUUCCUUAGGAUGUGCCCGUCUAUAAAAGAGCAUUUCCUUCUUCCCUUGUCGUUAUCCAGUGUUCCUUGGAUAGACAUUAGAUUUUUCUAUUCGCUUAAUAAUCUAACUAGUGCGGCGACAUCAAGGGAGCAGAUGACUAAAUUGGUGCAGUUUGCUAAAGACAAUGGCUCAAUUAUUGUUUAUGAUUCUGCAUAUGAUAUGUAUAUAUGUGAUGACAGUCCGAAGUCCAUCUUUGAGAUUUCUGGAGCCAAAGAGGUAAGUUCAGAUCAUGUUAUUUGGUUAACGAUGAUUAUUUUCUGGUGGAAGUUUCACCUAUCAUUUGGUUAAACUUUGUAGCAUGUAACAGUAGAUGACAAACCCAUAUUGUCUGUGUAUUACUUUUUUAGCUGUUACUUAUCAGUACAUUGCUUACUAUAAUGAUCAAUCUUCUUCCAUUUUUCUUUAAAUCCCAUUACAACUAUACCUCAAUUUCAAGUUCAAGUUACUUAGUGCCUAUUUGGCCAUGAGAGUUUUUUUACUUUUUUUCGGAAAAAUUUAUUCACUUUAUUCCAGACAAAUUUACCUGUUGCUGGUUCUUUGUACUAUACUUCUUUUGAUCAAUCUCAGAUAUUGGCUUAGUGUUAUGUAGUUCCUUUACCUUAGUGAUUGUUGUUUACUUAUUACAGUUAGUGAUUCUUUUCAUUUGUCCUAGCCUUGGUGGACAGAGUUACUUGAUAUCUGUUGUUGGUAGGAGAUGAUAGAUAUCCCAUGAAUUUAGGUGAGGUGCGCGAAAGCUGGCCUAAACACCACGGUUAUCAAAAGAAAAAAUGAAAUGGCAGGAGCAGUAAUUUGUACUUUCUACUGGUUGUGAUCAAUAUUAAACCUUAUCAUGUUCACUGUUUUUCCAUUUACUGGGGAUGACAAAAUUUGCUGAUCAGCAUCUAAGUAUUGUGGCACAGGUAGUAUCUGGUCCUGAAUCUAACACAGCAAAGGACGACACAGAGAAUGGCGUGGGAAAAUCUGAUACAUACAGUCAUGACAAGACUGCUGCUAUGGGAGCUGUUAUACACUAUUGUGUAAAAUUUUGAGGUUGCACUGUUCCUAAAAUACAAGCAACCUCCUAGAAGACCUCCAAAGAAAGAUUGCGGAAAAUUAGAAAGAAAUAUGUUUAAAAAGAAAAUCAUCUAACUCAUGUAGCGUUUGGACACAAUAGACGUUUGUGUAGAAAAUAUUGUAAAUGAUACAUUAGUUGUGAUGUUGUAAUCGUAAAUUUAACAUUUGUUGUGAUGUUAUAUUCAUUAAAGAUAUUUUUUCGAAUGUCA